UACGAAGGGGGCUAGCGUUGCUCGGAAUCACUGGGCGUAAAGGGUGCGUAGGCGGGUCUUUAAGUCAGGGGUGAAAUCCUGGAGCUCAACUCCAGAACUGCCUUUGAUACUGAAGAUCUUGAGUUCGGGAGAGGUGAGUGGAACUGCGAGUGUAGAGGUGAAAUUCGUAGAUAUUCGCAAGAACACCAGUGGCGAAGGCGGCUCACUGGCCCGAUACCGACGCUGAGGUGCGAAAGCGUGGGGAGCAAACAGG
rnacentral:rRNA from 1 species